rnacentral:rRNA from 1 species
GCUAUCGGAUUGAUACUAAGCCAUGCGAGUCAUUGUAGCAAUACAAGGCAUACGGCUCAGUAACGCGUAGUCAACCUAACCUAUGGACGGGAAUAACCUCGGGAAACUGAGAAUAAUGCCCGAUAGAACAUUAUGCCUGGAAUGGUUUAUGUUCCAAAUGAUUUAUCGCCGUAGGAUGGGACUGCGGCCUAUCAGUUUGUUGGUGAGGUAAUGGCCCACCAAGACUAUUACAGGCACGGGCUCUGAGAGGAGUAGCCCGGAGAUGGGUACUGAGACACGGACCCAGGCCCUAUGGGGCGCAGCAGGCGAGAAAACUUUGCAAUGUGCGAAAGCACGACAAGGUUAAUCCGAGUGGUUUCUGCUAAAGGAACCUUUUGUCAGUCCUAGAAACACUGAUGAAUAAGGGGUGGGCAAGUUCUGGUGUCAGCCGCCGCGGUAAAACCAGCACCUCAAGUGGUCAGGAUGAUUAUUGGGCCUAAAGCAUCCGUAGCCGGCUCUGUAAGUUUUCGGUUAAAUCUGUACGCUCAACGUACAGGCUGCCGGGAAUACUGCAAAGCUAGGGAGUGGGAGAGGUAGACGGUACUCGGUAGGAAGGGGUAAAAUCCUUUGAUCUAUUGAUGACCACCUGUGGCGAAGGCGGUCUACCAGAACACGUCCGACGGUGAGGGAUGAAAGCUAGGGGAGCAAACCGGAUUAGAUACCCGGGUAGUCCCAGCUGUAAACCAUGCAAACUCAGUGAUGCAUUGGCUUGUGGCCAAUGCAGUGCUGCAGGGAAGCCGUUAAGUUUGCCGCCUGGGAAGUACGUACGCAAGUAUGAAACUUAAAGGAAUUGGCGGGGGAGCACCAC